rnacentral:rRNA from 1 species
UACGUAGGGACCAAGCGUUGUUCGGAUUUACUGGGCGUAAAGCGUGCGCAGGCGGCUUUGCAAGACAGAUGUGAAAUCCCCGGGCUCAACCUGGGAACUGCAUUUGUGACUGCAUGGCUGGAGUGCGGCAGAGGGGGAUGGAAUUCCGCGUGUAGCAGUGAAAUGCGUAGAUAUGCGGAGGAACACCGAUGGCGAAGGCAAUCCCCUGGGCCUGCACUGACGCUCAUGCACGAAAGCGUGGGGAGCAAACAGG